GACGAACGCUGGCGGCGUGCUUAACACAUGCAAGUCGAACGGUAAGGCCCUUCGGGGUACACGAGUGGCGAACGGGUGAGUAACACGUGGGUAAUCUGCCCUGCACUUCGGGAUAAGCCUGGGAAACCGGGUCUAAUCCCGGAUAUUCAGUUCCUGCCGCAUGGUGGGGGUUGGAAAGUUUUUCGGUGCAGGAUGAGCCCGCGGCCUAUCAGCUUGUUGGUGGGGUAAUGGCCUACUAAGGCGACGACGGGUAGCCGGCCUGAGAGGGUGAUCGGCCACACUGGGACUGAGACACGGCCCAGACUCCUACGGGAGGCAGCAGUGGGGAAUAUUGCACAAUGGGCGAAAGCCUGAUGCAGCGACGCCGCGUGGGGGAUGACGGUCUUCGGAUUGUAAACCCCUUUCAGUAGGGACGAAGCGCAAGUGACGGUACCUGCAGAAGAAGCACCGGCCAACUACGUGCCAGCCGCCGCCGUAACAC
rnacentral:rRNA from 1 species